UGUAGGGGUAGAGUCUGUAACUUCUUCUUGGAUAGAGGAAGUUGCUCUCAAGCACUUUGUUUUGAUGCCUUGUUACAUGUUUUAAACUUUAUUUAGAAGAAGCUGCUCUGAGGAUUACUUGAUUCUCUCUUUUUUUUCCCUUUGUGGUCUUCGUGUUAAAAAUGACAGAUAAACAGACGUGAUCCUGCAAUCAAUGGAUUCAUUUUUUGUCAGUCAAGUUUCGGGUCUCAAGCCAAAUUUUUACCAAAUCAAACGGAGUUAAUGACAGUCAUGGAGGGUCUCACUGGGGAUCUUUCCACACAAACCUUGAUAAAAUAGCAAUGUGUUGGUCUUUUAAGGCAGAUAUGACUUCUCACAGGAUUGAGGGCUUAAAAGGAGAAAGUUUAUUGAGAGAGCUGCUGUAAAUGUCAUUCUAAGUUUCUGUACCUCUGCAUUGUCAUUUUUCAUGAAGGACGAGGUGGCAAUUAACCCUUGCACAAUCUUAAGACGGGGUUAUUUAGACCCAAGUUUUUUUUUGUUUGUUUUUUUCUGUCCAGCAAGGUUGUGUGCAUUUUUAUGAGUUUUUUUUUUCUUCUUCUUUUUUUGUGGUGUGGGAAACUGUCCGUCUGACAGGGACGCAAGAAAUCGUUUCUCAAUAGCCGAGGACCCAGAACCUCACUUCACAGCCAAACGUACAACAAGGAGUUUGUUCUUACCAGGCUAGCUUCAUAAGGGACAGACUUCAAAUUCACUGCUCUAAACUAGAGCUUUAACAGCACACGCUGGGAAGACAGACAUCUCCAAGAGAGCAAAACUUUCAAAACUGCAGGGGACGAGAACUGAGGAC